CCUACGGGCGACUGCAGUGGGGAAUAUUGGGCAAUGGGCGCAAGCCUGACCCAGCAACGCCGCGUGAAGGAAGACGGCUUUCGGGUUUUAAACUUCUUUUUUGAGGGACGAAGAAAGUGACGGUACCUCAGUAUUAAGCCACGGCGAACUACGUCCCAGCAGCCGCGGUAAUCCGUAGGUGGCAUGCGUUAUCCGGAUUUAUUGGGUGUAAAGGGCGUGUAGGCGGGAAAGCAAGUCAGAUGUGAAAACUCAGGGCUCAACCCUGAGCCUGCAUUUGAAACUGUUUUUCUUGAGUGCUGGAGAGGCAAUCGGAAGUCCGGGUGUAGCGGUGAAAUGCGUAGAUAUACGGAGGAACACCAGUGGCGAAGGCGGAUUGCUGGACAGUAACUGACGCUGAGGCGCGAAAGCGUGGGGAGCAAACAGGAUUAGAUACCCCUGUAGUC
rnacentral:rRNA from 1 species